GUGGGCUGUUAAGACGCUGAAAAACCAGGGUGUGGACCAAGCUGGCUAAGGCUGAGUGGACCCAAUGUGGUGCUGGAUUUGACGGAGGUUUUACCUAGGCCCUCAUUAUAUGCUCAUUAACAUACUAAAUCACACACCCGCCAGUGCCAUGACAGUUCUGAGACCAAUAUUUGAUGUAAAAAUGGAUGGCACCACAGUUCCGAGAAAUCUCCACCUUUACCCAGGAAUUUUCAUGAACAUUCCACUCCUUGGUUAAAGAAACCCAUCAAGAUGAAACCCCAGAAUCCAUUGUUCUCUCUUGGGUAUGCCUGAACUCCCCUUUCUUGAGUGUGUACUUUUUGCUUUGCAAUAAAUCUCUUCUUUCACUAUC
rnacentral:lncRNA from 1 species